rnacentral:lncRNA from 1 species
GCGCGGGAUGACGAGACGAAGCAUGGGCAGCAGGCGCCGCUUGACCGGGCUGUCCAGCAGCACGCGCAGGGUGCGCACCAGGUCGAAGACGUUGCGGCGCGCGUGGUAAGCGUUCAGGCAAUGCGUGAACUGCUCCCGCUCCGCCUCGCUCAGCAGCGCGGUCAGCGCCUGGUGCAGCUGGCGCACGUUGGCAGAGAGCAGUCGCAGCCCCGAGCCCCGCCGCCGCCCGCCCCGGCCGCCGACCCCAGCGAGCCGGUGGAGGACGAGCUCACCGACAGGCCGUCCAGCGGCGCGUUCAUCUCCACGCCAAAGCCCGGCCGGGCUCUGGGAGCGCGGGGUGUGGGGGGUGCCGCUGUCCUCGCGGGUACUGGCGCGACAGCUGGAUCUCCGGGAGCACGGAGACGACGGCUGGAGCCUGGGUUUGUGGAGCACAGGUACAGUGGCUGGAUCCCAGGAAGUCGCGGAGACCGCUGCUAGAGUCCCGGAGGCGCGAAGACGGCGGGGGUCGCGAACCUGGAAUCCAGGGGACGCGGAGACGUCGGCGAGUUCCUGAAAGACACAAGAGUUGGCUGCUGGAGCCCAGAGGUGGCGGAGACUGCGGCUGGAGUCCGGGGGGCGCGGAGUGAGCAGCUACAUUCCGGAGGGCACGGAGACGACGGGUGGCUGGAGACCGGAGGCGCCGCAAAGCUGACCUGACCGCCCCGUCACACCAUGCCCGGGGCUCCCCCAGCCGGGCCGCCCGUUCCUCUAGGGCUGGGGGACCCCAAAGUCAGAAGUUGGGACGGAGGGCGCUCUAGUCCCAGAGGAGUCCGGGGAGUCGCAGUCGGUGAAGCCGCGCGGGCGUCCGGCAAGGGGUGCGGGGCAUGCCCGGGGCAGCCCCAGGAUGCAGCCGCCCGGGGAGCCUCCGCGCCCCUACGCCGCGCGGCCGCGAGCCUGGACUUUGCGAACUGUUGAGCCGCCCGGGCCGAGUCUUCCAGCGAGUUCCGACGCCGUCGCGUUGCCAGUCCGGCCCGGGCCCCGCCCCUCGCCCCUCCUCCUGCCCGCCCCCUCCCCCCGGGCUCCUCAGGAAAUGACGUCCCGCCCGGUGCGCCUGGCCGUUGCCUGGAGACGGGGUGAAACAGUCCAGCCCCAGGGAAGAAAGGGGUGAACGCGGGGGUAGGGAUGGAAGGAGCUCCCGCGUCCCCUACCCCACCUGCGGAGCCGGGAGCGGGGCUCAGAAACAGCGCUUUUCGGCGUUCGCAGCGAGUGCCGGCCCCAGGAUCGCUUUGGAGCAAUUAGCCAGCUAGCUAAUUCACAAUUCGGGGGUGAAAUCGUCAAGUUUUUUGUUUGUUUGAUUUUUGCUUCCAAAAUACUGGGCACUUCAGUCUCAGUUUUCUUCCUUACAGUGUGUGGCGCUCCCCUCCUGAACGCGCCCUGACAUGACAAGUUCAAGGGUUUACGUGGACGGUCGUUGGCCACCUACUGUGUGCAAGAGACGAAUACGAGCAGAGACUGCUGUCUGCCGGAGCCAACUCCGUGGCAGGGAUGGAUCAGACUGGACCCCUUCCCAGUCUCCAUUGCGAGGGAAAAGCCACUUUCAGAAAUAUUAUAUAAAGUGUACACCCCACGCUCGCACACACACAUACUAAUGAGCGCAUAUAAAACUGGUGAAAUCUGAGUAAGGUGGGUGGAUUGUAUCAAUGUCAAUGUCCUGGUUGCCAUCGUGUCAGCAUGGGGGGAAACUGGGUGAAGGGCCCAUGGGCUGUCUGUGUAUUAUUUCUUACAACUGCAUUUGGAUCUACAAUCUCAAAAUAGAAAUUAAAAAUAUACAUAUUUGAAGUGGCUUGAAGAAAAA